rnacentral:rRNA from 1 species
GAUGAACGCUAGCGGCAGGCCUAACACAUGCAAGUCGAGGGGCAGCACAGAAACAGCAAUGUUUUGGUGGCGACCGGCGGACGGGUGCGUAACGCGUAUGCAACCUACCUUUAACAGGGGGAUAACGGAGAGAAAUUUCCACUAAUACCCCAUAACAUCGAUCAAGGCAUCUUGAUUGGUUGAAAACUCCGGUGGUUAAAGAUGGGCAUGCGUUGUAUUAGGCAGUUGGUGAGGUAAUGGCUCACCAAGCCUACGAUACAUAGGGGACUGAGAGGUUAGCCCCCCACAAUGGGACUGAGACACGGACCAGACUCCUACGGGAGGGAUCAGUGAGGAAUAUUGGUCAAUGGGGGCAACCCUGAACCAGCCAUGCCGCGUGCAGGAAGACGGCUCUAUGAGUUGUAAACUGCUUUUAAACAGGGAUAAAGCACAGUAUGUAUACUGUGUUGAAGGUACUGUAAGAAUAAGGAUCGGCUAACUCCGUGCCAGCAGCCGCCGUAA